UACAGAGGGGGCAGGCGUUGUUCGGAAUUACUGGGCGUAAAGGGCGCGUAGGCGGCCGCCUAAGUCAGACGUGAAAUCCCUCGGCUCAACCGGGGAACUGCGUCUGAUACUGGGUGGCUUGAAUUCGGGAGAGGGAUGCGGAAUUCCAGGUGUAGCGGUGAAAUGCGUAGAUAUCUGGAGGAACACCGGUGGCGAAGGCGGCAUCCUGGACCGGCAUUGACGCUGAGGCGCGAAAGCCAGGGGAGCAAACGGG
rnacentral:rRNA from 1 species